GAUAAAGAAGAACGAAAGUUAGAAAAGAUAGAUAAGAGUAAAUGUUUAAGAGUGAUGUAUACAAAUGUAGAUGGAUUAAUAACUAGUAAAUUGGAACUGCAAGAUUUCAUAAAGGAGAAAGAACCAAUGAUCGUAUGCUUAACGGAAACCAAACUGAACGAAGCUAUUAAAUUAGAGAUAAAUAAAAACUAUGAUAUAUGGAGGAAAGAUAGAAUGGGCAAAGGGGGAGGUGGAGUGAUGAUAAUGACAAAAAAGGAGUUAACAGUGAAAGUGGUAGAAUACGGUGAAGGUAAAGCUGAAAUUGCGAAAGUAAAUGUGGAAACCAAAAACAAGGAAAGGUUGACAAUUAUAACCGCAUAUGUACCACCUAGAACAAACUCAUGGUGUAAGGAAGAGCACGACACUAUGAUCAAUGACACUAUACGGAGUUUAAGCAAAAUGCUAAAGGAAGACAAAAAAGUUAUGCUAGUUGGUGACUUCAAUUGUAAAGAGAUUGACUGGGAGACAUUCGAGAGUAAUAGUGGAGAUAACGCAUGGGGAGAUAGAUUCCUAAGAUUGAUGAUGGAGAAUCUUAUGUUACAAAGAGUGAAUGAACAUGCAAGAUAUAGAAGUGACGAUGAACCGGCAAGACUGGACCUAGUACUAACAAAAGGAAUAUACAUCAAGGAUGAACUAAGGUAUGGAUGUCCACUGGGCAAGAGUGAUCAUGUAACCAUAGAGAUUGAUACAGAAGUGGAGGUUACUAAAGAGGACGAAUCCUACAAAUCAAACAGGCUAAACUAUAUUAAGACAGACAUGGAAAACCUUCGGAAGUUUUACAAGAAAGUGGAAUGGGAUGAGUUACUGAGAAAAAAUAAAGUACAAGAAAAGUAUGAUAUCUUUAUGGAAGCCUAUAACACUGGUGUCAAAAAAUAUGUACCCGUAUACAGACCCAAAGUUAAGGGUAGGAAGGACUGGUUUAAUGCCAAAUGUGCAAACGCAAAAGAAAAAAGGGACAAAGCAUGGAAAAGACUAAAAAGAAGGAAGAAUCAAAGAAACAAAGAAGACUUCAGAAUGGCGAGAAAUGAAUAUGUGAAAAUAAGGAAAGAAGAAGAAAAGGGAUAUGAGAAGGAUAUUGUGGAAAAAUGCAAAGAACAGCCCAAGUUGUUUUAUAGAUUUAUAAAUGGGAAGACUAAACCGAAAGAAACAAUAGAAAGACUGAGAGACGGGAAUGUGGAAGUCAAUGACCCUAAAGGUAUGGCAGAGUUAUUAAAUAGAAAAUUCCAGCAAGUCUUUACCAAAGAAACAAUGUUUAUUGUGCCACAAGAGAAUAAAAUAGAAGUUCAUAUGGAAGAGAUUAUGGUAAACAAAGAAGAGAUCCAUAAAUUACUGGGAGAACUAGAAGAGGGAAAAGCAGUAGGACCGGAUGGAGUUUCUGGGUAUAUUUUAAAAAAAUGUAGAGAUGAAUUAAUUGUUCCAAUAUACGACAUCAUUAGAUGCUCAGUAGCAACAGAUACGGUGCCCAAUGAGUGGAGAAGGGCUGAAGUGGUCCCCAUAUAUAAAAGUGGAAGGAAAGAUGAACCUUCAAACUACAGACCCAUAUCCCUGACAAGUGUUUUGUGCAAAAUAUGUGAGAAAAUAAUAAAGAAGCAGUGGACUAAAUUUCUAGAAGAGCAUAAGUUAAUUACCAGCAAACAAUAUGGAUUUCAAAAGGGCCGAUCAUGUGUUACAAACUUACUCAGUUUUUACUCAAGAGUGACAGACAGAACUCAGGAAAGGGAUGGAUGGGUUGAUUGUAUUUAUCUAGAUUUGAAAAGGCCUUUGACAAAGUUCCACAUACAAGACUAUUAUGGAAACUGGAAAAUAAAGGAGGAUUGAAAGGAAAUAUGAAAAAAUGGAUGGCAAGCUACCUAAUGGGAAGGAGAUGAGAACUGUGGUCAAGGACAUAAAAUCAGAAUGGAGAAAUGUAGAAAGCGGAGUACCACAGGGUUCAGUAUUAGCACCGAUAAUCUUCCUGGUAUAUGUAAAUGACAUGGCUGAAGGAGUUAAUAGCUACAUAAACCUGUUUGCUGACGACGCUAAAUUACAAAAACAUAUAAGAAACAAAGAAGAUUGUGAAAUAUUGCAAGAAGACCUAUACAAAAUUUGGAAAUGGAGUAUGGAUUGGGAGAUGGAAUUUAAUGUGAAAAAAUGUCAUGUUAUGGAAAUGGGUAAAAGUGAAACAAGACCAAUCUGGAUAUACAAAAUGGGAAAUGGUGAAACAUUAAAAAAAGUGCAUGAAGAGAGAGACCUGGGAGUAGUGAUGAGGGAUGAUAAUCAACCAGAGAGUCAUAUAAAUCGGAUCUUUAGAGACACAUAUAACUUGGUGAGAAAUAUUGGAGUAGCAUUUAGCUACAUGGACAAGGACAUGAUGAGAAGGCUAAUCACUACCAUGAUUAGACCAAAAUUAGAAUAUGCAGAGGUAGUGUGGUCCCCCCAUAAGAAGAAGCAUAUAAAGAAACUAGAAAGAAUACAGAGGAUGGCAUCAAAAAUGGUCCCAGAGUUGGAGGGAUUAAUAUACGAGGAAAGAUUAAAGGAAAUGAACUUAACAACACUGGAACAAAGAAGAGAAAGGGGAGACCUAAUCCAAAUUUAUAAAUUAUUAAGCAAAAUAGAUCAAGUAGAUAAUGAAGAACUGCUACUAACAGAAGGAAACAUAAGCAGAAAUACAAGAGGACACAGUAAAAAAUUGAGAAAGGGGAGAUGCUUGAGAGACACUAAGAAGUAUAGCUUCCCGCAAAGAAAUGUAGAGGUUUGGAACAGUCUGAGCGAGGAUACAGUAUCAGCGAGGAGUGUGCAAAGCUUUAAAGAUAAGUUGGAUAAAUGCAGACACGGAGACGGGACCACACGAGCAUAAUGCCCAGGCCCUGUAAAACUACAACUAGGUAAAUACACACACACACACACACACACACACACACAUGCAUACAGACACACACCAGAAUUGGUUUGGGAAUUCUAUUUUCUCAUCAGCUUCCUGUCUAUCCCCUGUCUGCCUGUAGCACCAGUAGGCCCUCUUGGACGGCCCCAGCCCAUUAGCGGUCUUAGCCAGGUCUUUCUCUGCCUCUGUGGUGGAUAGUGGAGUGUUUCCCAUGUGGUAUUGGUGUGCUGGAUAUCCCUUCACUGGUAGCCUGGUAACAUACACUCCCAGGUCUUUCUCUGCCUCUGUGGUGGAUAGUGGAGUGUUUACCAUGUGGUAUUGGUGUGCUGGAUAUCCCUUCACUGGUAGCCUGGUAACAUACACUCCCAGGUCUUUCUCUGCCUCUGUGGUGGAUAGUGGAGUGUUUCCCAUGUGGUAUUGGUGUGCUGGAUAUCCCUUCACUGGUAGCCUGGUAACAUACACUCCCAUGUCUUUCUCUGCCUCUGUGGUGGAUAGUGGAGUGUUUCCUAUGUGGUAUUGGUGUGCUGGAUAUCCCUUCACUGGUAGCCUGGUAACAUACACUCCUAGGUCUUUCUCUGCCUCUGUGGUGGAUAGUGGAGUGUUUCCCAUGUGGUAUUGGUGUGCUGGAUAUCCCUUCACUGGUAGCCUGGUAACAUACACUCCCAGGUCUUUCUCUGCCUCUGUGGUGGAUAGUGGAGUGUUUCCCAUGUGGUAUUGGUAUGCUGGAUAUCCCUUCACUGGUAGCCUGGUAACAUACACUCCCAGGUCUUUCUCUGCCUCUGUGGUGGAUAGUGGAGUGUUUCCCAUGUGGUAUUGGUGUGCUGGAUAUCCCUUCACUGGUAGCCUGGUAACAUACACUCCCAGGUCUUUCUCUGCCUCUGUGGUGGAUAGUGGAGUGUUUCCCACGUGGUAUUGGUAUGCUGGAUAUCCCUUCACUGGUAGCCUGGUCACAUACACUCCCAGGUCUUUCUCUGCCUCUGUGGUGGAUAGUGGAGUGUUUCCCAUGUGGUAUUGGUGUGCUGGAUAUCCCUUCACUGGUAGCCUGGUCACAUACACUCCCAGGUCUUUCUCUGCCUCUGUGGUGGAUAGUGGAGUUUUUCCCACGUGGUAUUGGUGUGCUGGAUAUCCCUUCACUGGUAGCCUGGUCACAUACACUCCCAGGUCUUUCUCUGCCUCUGUGGUGGAUAGUGGAGUGUUUCCCAUGUGGUAUUGGUGUGCUGGAUAUCCCUUCACUGGUAGCCUGGUCACAUACACUCCCAGGUCUUUCUCUGCCUCUGUGGUGGAUAGUGGAGUGUUUCCCAUGUGGUAUUGGUGUGCUGGAUAUCCCCUCCCAAGGUGCAGGACUUAACAUUUUUCAUCAUUGCAUUGUAGCAGCCACUUUUUGUUCCACUCCCAUAGCUUUUUGAUGUCUUCUUGUAGGAAAUCCACAGUCAAGGGGUUAAAAAUAGGCCUUUCUGACAAACUGUUGCAAUUUUUAUAACACUCUUAUUUCCCUUAUAAGAUUACAUUACGUCGUUUGUCUGGUGGAGAACAGUUUUGAUUCUUCGCGGAGACAAACAAAGGGAAACAAUUCAAAGUGUUUUUAUUCCUCUUAAUAAUGAACAAAUACUUGACUUCUGGGCUGCCAACAGAGUAAUGGAUUGUUUCAUCUUUAGGGCGAACAAAGAAAUUAGCGCCUGAAUAUUCAAACGCUGUAUUAGCCUUCGUCAAGAACACUGUGGCUGACUUGUCUUUGCUGGUUUGUUAAUGUGUUGACUUCACUCUGAAAAUCCAGGACUUCUAGCUAACAACUCCAUCUCAAAAUUAGAAGCAAAGUCACACCAGCCACAGAGCUUGACACUACUACCACGCUUGAAAAACCCGGCGUACAUGACUAAACGAUAUAUGUAUGUACCUCCUUGAGACGACAAGUAAUAUAUGGAGCCGAAAAGAACCUCCUCGUAACCGACUCUACGUAACCGUUAAUCCCGAGCCUGUGUUGUCGUUCCGAGUCGGAAGAACUUAAAAUAUAUUGUCAUUACGAACUCUCUCUUUCAUAACACAAGUCCUACAGCAAUACUUCCUCUCCACAACACAAGUCCUACAGCAAUACUUCCUCUCCACAACACAAGUCCUACAGCAAUACUUCCUCUCCACAACACAAGUCCUACAGCAAUACUUCCUCUCCACAACACAAGUCCUACAGCAAUACUUCCUCUCCACAACACAAGUCCUACAACAAUACAAGGAUCGUAAUGUUACGUCUACGUAAAGACGAGAAAUAAGCAAACAGUGAGUGCUGGGAUGACGUAACCUUGCCUCAACGUACAGAGAUCAAAGUGUGAAUUGAGGUUACUUAUACAAACAUCUCGCAGGUUAAGGUUGACAUACCUUAUAUAUCGUUAGUUUAAGAGACGUAAUCUUGCCUAUACGUACAGAGAUCAAAAUAACAUAUCUCGAGGGUAGGGUUCACGUAACUUGUAUUUCGUUAGUUUAAGGUUACGUAUACUUACAAUAACGUUGUAAAGAGGGAAAGAAUAAAGGAAAGAAAGAAGGUGUGUUGAAAGGUCAUCUUAUCGCCUACAAACACCUAGAGACAAACAUUGGGGUGAGGGAGGGAGGGAAGGGUAGCACACACACACACACACACACACACACACACACACACACACACACACACACACAAA